rnacentral:rRNA from 1 species
GAGUUUGAUCAUGGCUCAGGAUAAACGCUAGCGGCAGGCUUAACACAUGCAAGUCGAGGGGUAACAUUGUGGUGUUUACACUCAGAUGACGACCGGCGGAUGGGUGAGUAACGAGUAUGUAACCUACCUGUUACUAAAGGAUAGCCCGAAGAAAUUUGGAUUAAUCCUUUAUGAUAUCUUUUUUUGGCAUCGAUUUAAGAUUAAAGAAUUUUCGGUAAUAGAUGGGCAUGCUUUCUAUUAGAUAGUUGGUAAGGUAAAGGCUUACCAAGUCGACGAUAGAUAGGGGCUCUGAGAGGAUUUCCCCCCACACUGGAACUGAGAACGGUCCAGACUCCUACGGGAGGCAGCAGUGAGGAAUAUUGGGCAAUGGAGGCAACUCUGACCCAGCCAUGCCGCGUGCAGGAUUACGAUCGACAAGAUUUUAAACUGCUUUUAUAAUGGGAAAAUCAUCAAUUUGCGAAUUGAUUUGCUGUUACAUUAUGAAUAAGAAUCGGCUAACUCCGUGCCAGCAGCCGCGGUAAUACGGGGGAUUCAAGCGUUAUCCGGACUUAUUGGGUUUAAAGGGUGCGUAGGCUGAUAAAUCAGUCAGCGGUGAAAUUUACGGGCUUAACUUGUAACUUGCCGUUGAAACUAUUUAUCUAGAGAUAUUUCGGCGUAUGCGGAAUGUAUCAAGUAGCGGUGAAAUGCAUAGAUAUGCUACAGAACACCAAUCGCGAAGGCAGCAUACGAGGCAUCAUCUGACGCUGAUGCACGAAAGCGUGGGGAUCAAACAGGAUUAGAUACCCUGGUAGUCCACGCUGUAAACUAUGAUAACUAUCUUUUAGCGAUACACAGUUAGAGGGUACGAGAAAUCAUUAAGUUAUCCACCUGGGGAUUACGUUCGCAAGAAUGAAACUCAAAGGAAUUGACGGGGGCCCGCACAAGCGGAGGAGCAUGUGGUUUAAUUCGAUGAUACGCGAGGAACCUUACCCGGGCUCGAACGGUACAUGAAUUAUAUUGGAAACUGUA